UAAGCGGAGGAAAAGAAACCAACAGGGAUUGCCCCAGUAACGGCGAGUGAAGCGGCAACAGCUCAAAUUUGAAAUCUGGCCCCUCCCACGGGGGGGCCCGAGUUGUAAUUUGCAGAGGAUGCUUCUGGCGAGGUGCCUUCCGAGUUCCCUGGAACGGGACGCCACAGAGGGUGAGAGCCCCGUCUGGUCGGACACCGAGCCUCUGUGAAGCUCCUUCGACGAGUCGAGUAGUUUGGGAAUGCUGCUCUAAAUGGGAGGUAUAUGUCUUCUAAAGCUAAAUACCGGCCAGAGACCGAUAGCGCACAAGUAGAGUGAUCGAAAGAUGAAAAGCACUUUGAAAAGAGGGUUAAACAGUACGUGAAAUUGUUGAAAGGGAAGCGCUCACGACCAGACCUGGUCCCGGCGAAUCACCCGGCGUUCUCGCCGGUGCACUUCGGCGGGCUUCCAGGCCAGCAUCAGUCCGCGCCGGGGGACAAAGGCGGCGGGAACGUGGCUCCCCAGGGAGUGUUAUAGCCCGCCGCGCAAUGCCCCGGGGGCGGACUGAGGACCGCGCGUCUACCGCAAGGAUGCUGGCGUAAUGGUCGUCAGCGACCCGUCUUGA
rnacentral:rRNA from 1 species